GCAGAAUUAGGAUUUAGGAUUUCUUUUUAUUGGGAUUACUGAUUUAUUUUGUCUUAUUCCUAUACUCUUUUCUUUACCUUUCUUUUGUGUUGUUUAGUUUUCACUUUGUGAUUCUGGCACUGGUCAAGUUUUCUGUGCUUGUUUUUCCUCUAGUGAUUUUUAAGUUAUAUGUGAUUUAGUUAUUGAUAUUAUAUUUUUCAUGCUUUAUUUAUAUUUUUUCAGUAUAUGGAAAAAGAGAGGCUCAGUAUCUUUAUGCUCUUCCCAAGAAGAGAAAGACUUUUAACAUGCCUUCCUUUCUGUCUUCUCCCAAACUAAAAGGUUGAGAUAAUCACAGUUUUAUUUUCAGAUUUUUGUACUUAUUUUACAGUGAUAAUCAAAUACUUAG
rnacentral:lncRNA from 1 species